AACGAACGCUGGCGGCAUGCCUAACACAUGCAAGUCGAACGAGACCUUCGGGUCUAGUGGCGCACGGGUGCGUAACGCGUGGGAACCUGCCCUUAGGUUCGGAAUAACUCCCCGAAAGGGGUGCUAAUACCGGAUAAUGUCUUCGGACCAAAGAUUUAUCGCCUUUGGAUGGGCCCGCGUUGGAUUAGCUAGUUGGUAGGGUAAAAGCCUACCAAGGCGACGAUCCAUAGCUGGUCUGAGAGGAUGAUCAGCCACACUGGAACUGAGACACGGCCCAGACUCCUACGGGAGGCAGCAGUGGGGAAUAUUGGACAAUGGGCGAAAGCCUGAUCCAGCAAUGCCGCGUGAGUGAUGAAGGCCUUAGGGUUGUAAAGCUCUUUUACCCGGGAUGAUAAUGACAGUACCGGGAGAAUAAACGCCGGCUAACUCCGUG
rnacentral:rRNA from 1 species